rnacentral:tRNA from 1 species
UCCCUGGUGGCUCAGACGGUAAAGCAUCUGUCUACAAUGCAGGACACCCGGGUUCAACCCCUGGGUUGGGAA